UGACAAAUGGUCCGAGAGCUUCUUCUCAGCCCGAAGAGCAGACCCAGACAAUCACAGGCGGAAGAUAUUUUCGAUGCUUGUGAUGAUUCACAAAGAGAAAACCCAAAACUAUACAUAUAUAUAUCUAUAUAUAUAUAUUUUCUUCAAUCCGUCCUUCUUUCUUGUCUGAAUUUUGCUGAAAUUUCCAUGUCUGUUCGAACGGGGAGGGCACGGUGCAAUUUCCAUUUGUCAGGGUUGUGAUUCUCCCUCGGUCGCGUGGAAAUGAUACCGGUCGGCGAUUCGAUCUGCGAUUGUUUCAAGAAGCCCUAAAUCGGCUUAGGAAUUCUUGCAUCUUUUUCUGAAAGCAGACGGGAUGUGGUCUAGGGCUUUAGAUAGGAAAUGCGUACAAAGGAUGUGUGGACAUUCAUAUGAUUUUUCCUUAUGAUCUUCAAAGCUGCUGAACUGAAGUAGGCCAUAUAUAUAUUCUCCAAGCCUCGUUAGAUUCUGGUCCAGGUUUUUGAUUAGUUUCUUUGUUUAGCCUCCUUAUUUAUUGUCAUUUAACCAAUUGUACAGUUUGUAUUACAUCUCUGUUGCAGUAAAUAUAGUAGUCGGUAUGGGCUAAACUAAUUAAAUCAGCUGCGUAUAAAUACGAGUCUCCUUCGACGUCAUAAAACUAAGUCAUAGUAGAUUAUUGAAUUUUAGGGUAAGUUGGAUGGAUGGAUACUUCUUGUAUUUGUGUCACAAUGUGAUCACUUGCAACUUGGUAAUUCAUAUUUAAUAUUUUUUUAAA